ACAAGAGCCAAAUCUGCUUUGUGAUGGCAGCUAAAUUCUUUGUGGUGGUGAUUUGUGGCUUCACAGAACUGAAGUUUCUCGCAAAAAUAAGCCAGGAUCGCCUAUACUUAAUUCAGGAGUGAGGGGCAGUGAUCUCAGCUGAAUCAUCAAGAAACUUUUACAGCUACUGGAGAAAAUUCCACUCGUCAACUGUGGUGGAUGCUGGAGUUUUACCAUUAGGCUGAAAGUCAGCCAAACUAUGAAUCUGUCACACCGGACAUUUCUUGACCACUGAGAACAGUGUGGAAAUGCCCCAGAGCCAAGAUAGAGCAAUUUAAGGAUGUCCAACAGAACAGCGUGGUGUGUGACAGACAGUAAAGCAAUUUGCAACUGAUGGCCCUUCAGAGAGUGAGGAGCAAGC